rnacentral:rRNA from 1 species
UGCCAGUAGUGAUAUGCUUGUUUCAAAGAUUCAGCCAUGCAUGUCUAAGUAUAAGCGAACUUAUACAGUGAAACUGCGGAUGGCUCAUUAAAACAGUUUGAAUUUAUUUGAUGAAUGUAUGAGAAUACUACUUGGAUAACCGUAGUAAUUCUAGAGCUAAUACAUGCAACGACGCCCGACCGUUUCACUACGGAAGGGCUGUAUUUAUUGGAUACCAAAACCAUCCUUCCCUCGGGAAGUUUUGUUUGAUGAUUCACAAUAACUGAUCGGAUCGCCACUGUGGUGGCGACAGGUCAUUCAACAUUCUGCCCUAUCAGCUUUCGAUGGUUAUGUAGUGGACAACCAUGGCCAUAACGGGUAACGGAGAAUCAGGGUUCGAUUCCGGAGAAGGAGCUUGAGAAUUGGCUACUACAUCUAAGGAAGGCAGCAGGCGCGCAAAUUACCCAAUCCCGAUUCGGGGAGGUAGUGACAAAAAAUAACAAUACCGGGCCUUUUUGGGCUUGGUAAUUGGAAUGAGGGAGAGUUAAGCGGACCAUCGAGUAUCCAUUGGAGGGCAAGUCUGGUGCCAGCAGCUGCGGUAAUACCAGCUCCAAUAGCGUAUAUUAAAGUUGUUGCAGUUAAAAAGCUCGUAGUUGGACUUGUGUGCGCUGUCCGCGGGUGGCCUGCGCCCAAAAGGGCGUUUCGGUUCGGCCCCGGUGGCGCCUUGAAAUCUGCAGCUGGGGGGACGUUGGCCUUAACUGGUCGGCGACCGCACGCCGGCUGCUCGGUUACUGUGAGAAAAUUAGAGUGUUCAAGGCAGGCAUUGGGUGCAAUUGGAUACAUUAGCAUGGAAUAAUAAAAUAUGGCUCCUGCCGUAUUUUGUUGGUUUUGACUGGUGGGAGUAAUGAUUGAUAGGGACGGUUGGGGGUGCUAGUAUUGAGCGGCCAGAGGUGAAAUUCAUGGAUUCGCUCAAGACUAACUUAUGCGAAAGCAUUCACCAAGGACGUCCUCUUUAAUCAAGAACGAAAGUUGGGGGAUCGAAGACGAUCAGAUACCGUCGUAGUCUCAACCAUAAACUAUGUCGACUUGGGAUCGGCGGUAGUUUUUUCAUUAAGACACUGUCGGGACCACGGGAGAAAUCAAAGUGUCUGGACUCUGGGGGAAGUAUGGUCGCAAGGCUGAAACUUGAAGGAAUUGACGGAAGGGCACCACCAGGAGUGGAGCCU